rnacentral:rRNA from 1 species
UACGGAAGGCAGCAGUGGGGAAUAUUGCACAAUGGGCGCAAGCCUGAUGCAGCCAUGCCGCGUGUAUGAAGAAGGCCUUCGGGUUGUAAAGUACUUUCAGUCGUGAGGAAGGUGUUAAGGUUAAUAACCUUAGCAAUUGACGUUAGCGACAGAAGAAGCACCGGCUAACUCCGUGCCAGCAGCCGCGGUAAUACGGAGGGUGCGAGCGUUAAUCGGAAUUACUGGGCGUAAAGGGCACGCGGGCGGUUAAUUAAGUUGGAUGUGAAAUCCCCGGGCUUAACCUGGGAAUGGCAUUCAAGACUGGUUAGCUAGAGUCUUGUAGAGGGGGUAGAAUUCCAUGUGUAGCGGUGAAAUGCGUAGAGAUGUGGAGGAAUACCGGUGGCGAAGGCGGCCCCUGGACAAAGACUGACGCUCAUGUGCGAAAGCGUGGGGAGCGAAACAGGGAUUAGAUACC